AGCCGGGGUUUCUUUACCAGGUACUGUCAUUAUCAUCCCUGGCGAAAGAGCUUUACGACCCUAAGGCCUUCGUCACUCACGCGGCAUGGCUAGAUCAGGCUUGCGCCCAUUGUCUAAGAUUCCC
rnacentral:rRNA from 1 species